UACGAAGGGGGCUAGCGUUGUUCGGAUUCACUGGGCGUAAAGGGCGCGUAGGCGGCUGUUCAAGUCGGGGGUGAAAGCCUGUGGCUCAACCACAGAAUUGCCUUCGAUACUGGACGGCUCGAGACCGGAAGAGGUCAGUGGAACUGCGAGUGUAGAGGUGAAAUUCGUAGAUAUUCGCAAGAACACCAGUGGCGAAGGCGGCUGACUGGUCCGGUUCUGACGCUGAGGCGCGAAAGCGUGGGGAGCAAACAGG
rnacentral:rRNA from 1 species